GUCCAAUUACCUUGCGUUUGGAUCAGGCAGAAUAGGAGGAUGACUGUGAAAGGUAAAGAAAGGUAAAGAAUAUACUGAGGACUCUUGUGGAAGGCAGCAAGUAUGGAAUUGCUUAGUCACCAAGCAAGCAAUCUACAGUAUGAUGAAAGUAAAUCAAGGAGAAGAUGGUUUUCCCAAAGUUGUACAGGCAAUCUGGUGAAGAACUGGGAAGAGAAGAUGAGUCUCCAAAUUCACAGUCUUAUGUGUAGCUUUCUGAGCAUAAAUAAUAAUAAUAAUAAUAAUCCUACCAAUCGCUGAAGACUUGUUCAGCGUA